rnacentral:rRNA from 1 species
UACAGGGGGUGCAAACGUUGCUCGGAAUCAUUGGGCGUAAAGCGCACGUAGGCGGUUCGUUAUGUCGGAUGUGAAAGCCCUUGGCUUAACCGAGGAAGUGCAUCCGAAACUGGCGAGCUAGAGUACGAAAGAGGAUCGCGGAAUUCCCGGUGUAGAGGUGAAAUUCGUAGAUAUCGGAAGAACACCAGUGGCGAAGGCGGCCCGCUGGACAUGUAUUGACGCUGAGGUGCGAAAGCGUGGGGAGCAAACAGG